GACGAACGCGGCGGCGUGCCUAAUACAUGCAAGUAGAACGCUGAAGGAGGAGCUUGCUUCUCUGGAUGAGUUGCGAACGGGUGAGUAACGCGUAGGUAACCUGCCUGGUAGCGGGGGAUAACUAUUGGAAACGAUAGCUAAUACCGCAUAAGAGUAGAUGUUGCAUGACAUUUGCUUAAAAGGUGCAAUUGCAUCACUACCAGAUGGACCUGCGUUGUAUUAGCUAGUUGGUGAGGUAACGGCUCACCAAGGCAACGAUACAUAGCCGACCUGAGAGGGUGAUCGGCCACACUGGGACUGAGACACGGCCCAGACUCCUACGGGAGGCAGCAGUAGGGAAUCUUCGGCAAUGGACGGAAGUCUGACCGAGCAACGCCGCGUGAGUGAAGAAGGUUUUCGGAUCGUAAAGCUCUGUUGUAAGAGAAGAACGAGUGUGAGAGUGGAAAGUUCACACUGUGACGGU
rnacentral:rRNA from 1 species